GCGGCAAGCCGCUCUAUCGUUCCGGUUUUAAUCGGAAAGGAAAGUCCGGGCAACACAGGGCACCAAACUUCUUAAUGGGAAGAUCUUUGAAAGGGGAUAGUAGUGUAACAGAAAAUAACCGUCCGCCAGCUGGCGGACAAGGGUGAAAAGGUGGGGUAAGAGCCCACCGGUGGUGGUGGUAACAUCAUUAGCCGUACGCCUUUUGGGUUGUAAAGCCAUGUAUACUCCGGUAGUAAAAUCAAUGCUGCCCGUAUUGUCCCGUUUGCUAACGGGAGCCGGAGGGGGUAGGCUGCUAGAUUUCAACAGUGAUGUUGGAGCCAGAUAAAUGAUAGAGCUCUGAUUUAUCGGAGACAGAACCCGGCUUACAGGCUUGCCUUUUUA
rnacentral:RNase_P_RNA from 1 species